rnacentral:rRNA from 1 species
AGAGUUUGAUCAUGGCUCAGGAUGAACGCUAGCGGCAGGCCUAAUACAUGCAAGUCGAACGGUAAAUACUGUAGCAAUAUGGUAUGAGAGUGACGCACGGGUGCGUAACACGUAUGCAACCUACCCAAGACAGGAGGAUAGCUCAGGGAAACUUGGAUUAACCCUCCAUAAGAUCGUAUAGAGGCAUCUUUAAGCGAUAAAAACGUAAGUGGUUUUGGAUGGGCAUGCGCAUGAUUAGUUAGUUGGUAGUGUAACGGACUACCAAGACGAUGAUCAUUAGGGGACCUGAGAGGGUGAUCCCCCACACUGGCACUGAGAUACGGGCCAGACUCCUACGGGAGGCAGCAGUAGGGAAUAUUGGUCAAUGGAUGCAAGUCUGAACCAGCCAUGCCGCGUGCAGGAAGACGGCCUUCUGGGUUGUAAACUGCUUUUGCCAGGGGAUAAAAGAGCCUUGCGAGGCGAAUUGAAGGUACCUGGUGAAUAAGCCACGGCUAACUACGUGCCAGCAGCCGCGGUAAUACGUAGGUGGCGAGCGUUGUCCGGAUUUAUUGGGUUUAAAGGGUGCGUAGGCGGCCCCGUAAGUCAGUGCUGAAAUACCCCGGCUUAACCGGGGGGGUGGCAUUGAUACUGCUGGGCUUGAGUACAGAUGAGGUAGGCGGAAUUGACGGUAGCGGUGAAAUGCAUAGAUAUCGUCAAGAACACCGAUAGCGAAGGCAGCUUACUAAGUUGUAACUGACGCUGAUGCACGAAAGUGUGGGGAUCAAACAGGAUUAGAUACCCUAGUAGUCC